rnacentral:rRNA from 1 species
UGACGACGAGGCGCUAAGGCGUUGAAGCAGUGUACGUCAGACUUCCAAGAAAAGCUCGCAAUGUCAUAAUAAAAAAUGCCUGUACCAUAACCGACACAGGUGGGUAGGUAGAGUAUACUAAGGGGCGCGAGAUAACUCUCUCUAAGGAACUCGGCAAAAUGACUCCGUAACUUCGGGAGAAGGAGUGCCUUAUUUAUAAGGUUGCAAUAACAAGAUCCAAGCAACUGUUUAUCAAAAACACAGGUCUCCGCUAAGUCGUAAGACGAUGUAUGGGGGCUGACGCCUGCCCAGUGCCAGAAGGUUAAAGAAGUUGGUUAGUGUAUGCGAAGCUGAUGACUGAAGCCCUGGUGAACGGCGGCCGUAACCAUAACGGUCCUAAGGUAGCGAAAUUCCUUGUCGGGUAAGUUCCGACCCGCACGAAAGGCGUAAUGAUUUGGAUACUGUCUCGGAGAGAGGCUCGGUGAAAUAGACUUGUCUGUGAAGAUGCGGACUACCUGCACCAGGACAGAAAGACCCUAUGAAGCUUUACUGUAACUUGAAAUUGGAAUUGGACUUUGCUUGCGCAGUAUAGGUGGGAGGCGUUGAAGAUAUUCUUGCGGGAGUAUUGGAGCUAUCAGUGAGAUACCACUCUUGUAAUGUUAGAUUUCUAACUUUGAACCAUAAUCUGGUCAAAGAACAGUUUCAGGUGGGCAGUUUGACUGGGGCGGUCGCCUCCCAAAUGGUAACGGAGGCGUACAAAGGUUUCCUCUGAACGGAUAGAAAUCGUAUCUAGAGUGUAAAGGCAUAAGGAAGCUUGACUGUGAGACCUACAAGUCGAGCAGGGACGAAAGUCGGUCUUAGUGAUCUGACGGUACUGAGUGGAAAGGCCGUCACUCAACGGAUAAAAGUUACUCUAAGGAUAACAGGCUGAUCUCCCCCAAGAGUUCACAUCGACGGGGAGGUUUGGCACCUCGAUGUCGGCUCAUCGCAUCCUGGGGCGGUAGUACGUCCCAAGGGUUGGGCUGUUCGCCCAUGAAAGCGGUACGCGAGCUGGGUUCAGAACGUCGUGAGACAGUUCGGUCCAUAUCCGGUGUAGGCGUUAGAAUAUUGAGAGGAGCCUUCUUUAGUACGAGAGGACCGAGAAGGACACACCGCUGGUGUACCAGUUAUCGUGCCAACGGUAAACGCUGGGUAGCUAUGUGUGGAGUGGAUAACCGCUGAAAGCAUCUAAGUGGGAAGCCCACCUCAAGAUGAG